rnacentral:rRNA from 1 species
GACGAACGCUGGCGGCGUGCUUAACACAUGCAAGUCGAACGGAAAGGCCCUGCUUUUGUGGGGUGCUCGAGUGGCGAACGGGUGAGUAACACGUGAGUAACCUGCCCUUGACUUUGGGAUAACUUCAGGAAACUGGGGCUAAUACCGGAUAGGAUCUCCUGCUGCAUGGUGGGGGUUGGAAAGUUUCGGCGGUUGGGGAUGGACUCGCGGCUUAUCAGCUUGUUGGUGGGGUAGUGGCUUACCAAGGCUUUGACGGGUAGCCGGCCUGAGAGGGUGACCGGCCACGUUGGGACUGAGAUACGGCCCAGACUCCUACGGGAUGGAGCAGUGGGGAAUAGUGCACUACGGGCGGAAGCCGGGUGCAGCAACGCCGCGUGCGGGAUGACGGCCUUCGGGUUGUAAACCGCGUUCGCCUGUGACGAAGCGUGAGUGACGGUAAUGGGUAAAGAAGCACCGGCUAACUACGUG